UGUCCUGAGCUGAGGUGUCGUGUCGUGUCGUGUCCUGAGCUGAGGUGUCGUGUCGUGUCGUGUCCUGAGCUGAGGUGUCGUGUCGUGUCGUGUCCUGAGCUGAGGUGUCGUGUCGUGUCGUGUCCUGAGCUGAGGUGUCGUGUCGUGUCGUGUCCUGAGCUGAGGUGUCGUGUCGUGUCGUGUCCUGAGCUGAGGUGUCGUGUCGUGUCGUGUCCUGAGCUGAGGUGUCGUGUCGUGUCCUGA